rnacentral:rRNA from 1 species
CUCCUGAUUGAUAAACAUUUGAGUGAGUGGCGGACGGGUGAGUAACACGUGGGUAACCUGCCCUAAAGUGGGGGAUAACAUUUGGAAACAGAUGCUAAUACCGCAUAAAACCUAACACCGCAUGGUGUAGGGUUGAAAGAUGGUUUCGGCUAUCACUUUAGGAUGGACCCGCGGUGCAUUAGUUAGUUGGUGAGGUAAAGGCUCACCAAGACCGUGAUGCAUAGCCGACCUGAGAGGGUAAUCGGCCACACUGGGACUGAGACACGGCCCAGACUCCUACGGGAGGCAGCAGUAGGGAAUCUUCCACAAUGGACGAAAGUCUGAUGGAGCAACGCCGCGUGAGUGAAGAAGGUUUUCGGAUCGUAAAACUCUGUUGUUGGAGAAGAAUGUAUCUGAUAGUAACUGAUCAGGUAGUGACGGUAUCCAACCAGAAAGCCACGGCUAACUACGUGCCAGCAGCCGCGGUAAUACGUAGGUGGCAAGCGUUGUCC